rnacentral:rRNA from 1 species
GGACCGGACGACUCCAGAGAUGGGGUUUUCUUCGGACUGGUGCACAGGUGGUGCAUGGUUGUCGUCAGCUCGUGUCGUGAGAUGUUGGGUUAAGUCCCGCAACGAGCGCAACCCUCGUUCCAUGUUGCCAGCGCGUAAUGGCGGGGACUCAUGGGAGACUGCCGGGGUCAACUCGGAGGAAGGUGGGGACGACGUCAAAUCAUCAUGCCCCUUAUGUCUUGGGCUUCACGCAUGCUACAAUGGCCGGUACAAUGGGUUGCGAAACUGUGAGGUGGAGCGAAUCCCAAAAAGCCGGUCUCAGUUCGGAUUGGGGUCUGCAACUCGACCCCAUGAAGUCGGAGUCGCUAGUAAUCGCAGAUCAGCAACGCUGCGGUGAAUACGUUCCCGGGCCUUGUACACACCGCCCGUCAAGUCACGAAAGUCGGUAACACCCGAAGCCAGUGGCCCAUCCUCGUGAGGGAGCUGUCGAAGGUGGGAUCGGUGAUUGGGACUAAGUCGUAACAGGGGUUAGCCGUA